CCUACGGGAGGCAGCAGUGAGGAAUAUUGGUCAAUGGCCGGGAGGCUGAACCAGCCAAGUCGCGUGAGGGAAGACGGCCCUACGGGUUGUAAACCUCUUUUGUCAGGGAGCAAGGUGCAGGUCGUGACCUGCUGUGAGUGUAUCUGAUGAAAAAGCAUCGGCUAACUCCGUGCCAGCAGCCGCGGUAAUACGGAGGAUGCGAGCGUUAUCCGGAUUUAUUGGGUUUAAAGGGGGCGCAGGCGGGUGGAAAAGUCAGUCGGUAAAGUCGGGGGCUCAACCCCGCCCCCGCCGUUGAAACUGUCUCCCUUGAGUGCGGUAAGGGUAGGCGGAAUGCGUGGUGUAGCGGUGAAAUGCAUAGAUAGCACGCAGAACUCCGAUCGCGAAGGCAGCCUACCAGCGCGCAACUGACGCUCAUGCACGAAAGCGUGGGUAUCGAACAGGAUUAGAUACCCCAGUAGUC
rnacentral:rRNA from 1 species